CAGGAGCUCAUAUUUGUAGGAGAGGAACAGCAAGAGCACAUUUAAUCUUUCAUGCUCCCGGUCCGACAGCUGCGCUUUCGCUCGCUCAGCUUUCUCCAAGGAUGAGCAACGCAGAGCUAAUUCUUACCCACCCCAAAUUUCCAGACAGGAAUAUGCAAAAGCUGUAGGAGCUGUUUCUAUCUGCCUGAAGCACUGAUUGUGUGGGUCCUGGCUGGAGCACACCCCGGGAAAGCCGUGUGUCUCACGGUUAAUUCCAGGGAAGAGCCACGCAAUGCUCAGUGGAUAAAAAGGCUCGUAGUCCCAGCUGGGAAAACAGUUCCAUUAUCUCCCAGCUGCACAGACCUUCCAUACGGCUCCGUUCUGCCUGGAUGAACGCUGUGCCUUGCUGAGAGCCUGGAACAGUCCUGCAGAAAAUUGUAAAGAUCCUGAGACAUUUCCCUGCUCAGCUGUAAUAUCAAGGUAGUCACAGGAAGACACACUUUACUUUCUUCCACUGAUUGGAUGGGAGGAAUUUUUGACCUUGGAAAGUGGAGAUGGUGUUGCUAUGGAAACUAAUAAGUCUGCUGCCAUUCAUGAGCUGCAGCACAGGGGAAGAAACCCUUCAUGGUCCUAUUUUUAUCCAAGAGCCACAUGAUAUCACUUAUUCCAUGGGCUCAGCAAAUCCAGAGAUCCUGCUGAACUGCACAGCUGAAGGAUAUCCACCCCCCCA